GUGCCAGCCGCCGCGGUAAUACAGAGGUGGCGAGCGUUGUUCGGAUUUACUGGGCGUAAAGCGUGCGUAGGCGGUCGCGUGUGUCGGAUGUGAAAUCCCGGGGCUCACCCCCGGAAGUGCAUCCGAAACUGCGCGGCUUGAGGCCGGGAUGGGUGACUGGAACACAUGGUGUAGCGGUGAAAUGCGUUGAUAUCAUGUGGAACACCGGAGGCGAAGGCGAGUCACUGGAACGGAUCUGACGCUGAGGCACGAAAGCGUGGGGAGCAAACAGGAUUAGAUACCCUGGUAGUCCACGCCGUAAACGUUGCACAUUUGCCGUGGGGGGAAUUGACCCCCCCCGUGGCGCAGCUAACGCGUUAAAUGUGCCGCCUGGGGAGUACGGCCGCAAGGUUAAAACUCAAAGAAAUUGACGG
rnacentral:rRNA from 1 species